GACGAACGCUGGCGGCGUGCUUAACACAUGCAAGUCGAACGGAAAGGCCUGCUUUCCCUUGUGGAUUGCGGGUACUCGAGUGGCGAACGGGUUAGUAACACGUGAGUGAUCUGCCCCCAACUUGGGUAUAAGCCUGGGAAACUGGGUCUAAUUCCCGAUAGGACUGCAGGGUGGUGCCUGUGGUGGAAAACGAUUUUCUAGUGGUUGGGGAUGAGCUCGCGGCCUAUCAGCUUGUUGGUGGGGUAAUGGCCUACCAAGGCGGCGACGGGUAGCCGGCCUGAGAGGGUGGACGGCCACAUUGGGACUGAGAUACGGCCCAGACUCCUACGGGAGGCAGCAGUGGGGAAUAUUGCACAAUGGGCGGAAGCCUGAUGCAGCGACGCCGCGUGGGGGAUGACGGCCUUCGGGUUGUAAACUCCUUUCGACCGCGAGGAAGCCACCUGGUUGGAAGGGUGGUGACGGUAGUGGUAGAAGAAGCACCGGCUAACUACGUG
rnacentral:rRNA from 1 species